GGGCAAUGGGGUGUAUGUCUUGGAAUCGCGGCCAUGUCUUGGCCACUUGGUUGUGUUGUUAAGUGUCUACCUGUUCCCCAGAAACCUAUCUUCAGCUAUUGGGAGGUGAAGAAAUAUAUAAGAACUCCGGUUAAACUUUGAUGUGAAAGAAACCCUCGGCUGGAAGCAUCAUGCAUUGUUAGCAAUAUAACCUGUGUUUAUGUACAUUAGAUAUUUAAUUUGAAUUGGCUAUAUUAGAACUGGUGGUGCAAGUAUUGAAAUUCAUCAUAGAAUUUUGAUUUGAGAAUGAUGAGAUCUAUAUUCAGAUUGUUAUCUGAAAAUGCAAAUUUAACCAAGUAAAACAUAACCGCAUAAGUAAUCAACAUUCAAGCUCAUCCGCCAUAGCACCAUGUCCAACCCCCCAUUCAACAUUGAAGUUCAUAAAGUUCAUAUUCCAUGGCAACUAAUUAGUUAGACAUUGAAGAAACAUAAGAACUCAAGUUAAACUUUGAUGUAAAAGAGACCCUGGGCUGGAAGCAUCAUUCAUUCUUAGGCAUAAGCUGUCGACAUGUACUUUUGUGGGAUGUAUCAAGCAUUUGAUUUGGCUAUAUUAGAUACUGGUUCUGCAAGUAUUGAAAUUCAUUUUAAAGUAUAGAUUUGGGGAGGCAUAGAUCUAUAUUCUUUUUUGUUACUUUGAAAUGCAAACUUAAAAACAACGAAUGUGGGAGAAACAUAACAAGUCCUGGAAUCAAUAAUGAAGCUCAUCCUCCAUAUAUAGUUCAUAUUCCAUGCCAGCUAAUCACUAAAAUCAUCCCAGAAGAGCUGUUAAAAACUUCCUCAAUCAAUAUAUAUUACAACAAUACUUGGAUGAUUAUAUAUUAAAGCUUCAUAAAAGAACCAGGCUUUUUAUCUUCUUUGCAAUCAAAACACACAUGUAUAUGCAAAACUUUCACAUCAUAAACUCACCACGGAAUAGUUACAGAAAGAAAAAGCUUACAUAUUUAGGUAAACAAACAAAGGGGAAUGCUGAAAAUCUCAAGCAAAGUACCUGACUGCAGAAGCUGAAAACUGAGUCGGACAAUCAAUUGAAAAGAGAUGUUCAAGCCUGACGUCCAAGGAAGAUGAGAGUGAAGAUGCCCAGUUGAAACUUGUGGUCAAGUCUUGAACUUUAAUUUCUUUAGUUCUUGUUCUUUUUUUCUGAACGAUAGACGAACAGUGACCAAGAGCUGCAGAGGUACUGACGUUGACGGCGCCAGAGACAGAAAAG
rnacentral:lncRNA from 1 species